rnacentral:rRNA from 1 species
CCUACGGGAGGCAGCAGUAGGGAAUCUUCCACAAUGGACGAAAGCCUGAUGGAGCAACGUCGCGUGAGUGAAGAAGGGCCUAGGGUCGGUAAACCUCUUUGUAACGGGGAUAAAAUGAGGCACGUAUUGGUCUUUUUUUGUACGUUAUUAAUAAGGAACGUCUAACUCCGUGCCAGCAGCCGCGGUGAUACGGAGGGGCGGAGCGUUCUCCGGAUUUAUUGGGUGUAAAGGGAGCGUAGGCGGGUCGAUAAGUCAGUUGUGAAAGUCUGCGGCUCAACCGGACAAUUGCAUUUGAUACUGGUAGACUUGAGUACAGAAGAGGAAGGUGGAACUCGUGGUGUAGCGGUGGAAUGCGUAGAUAUAUGGAAGAACACCGAUGGCGAAGGCAGCUCUCUAGUCUGCCACUGACGCUGAGGCUCGAAAGCGUGGGUAGCAAACAGGAUUAGAUACCCGAGUAGUC